UCUUGCAUAUGUCUUUGCCUUAUCACCAAUUGUAUAAAUAUCUAGGGUCUUUAUUUCAAGACAGAUUUUAAAUACUUCCACUAAUCAAUCAAAAGCUUUAUAGGAAAUAUGAGUUAUAUAUAGACCAAUUUAAAACCCACAGCUCUAGUCAAAUUUCACUGUGAUUACUUAGGAAGCACUACAAUGUAUAUAGCCAACCAAUUCUACAGCAACAAAUGGAAAAAGAGGAAAAAAACAAAACCAACUAAUUACAGUGUUCAUCUGGCAAAUUAAGAACAGUG